ensembl:lncRNA
GCAUCCCCCAGACACCACGUGGUUCCCAUCCCCACUUCUGUCUCCAGAGGUGCUUCCCUGAUCAUUCUGUCCAAAAUAGCCCUCCCCUUCCCCUACCUCCCCACUCCCAGGCAGCCCCCUCUGUCCUCUUGCCCAGCUAAGCUAUAUGUUCCUUCCUCUCGGGUCUGUGUUACAAGCAUGUUGGUUCUUUUGUUCCAUUCACCUCCACGAGGGCCCGCCUUUCUCAUGGAUCCUGGGACCUCUGUGGGUCUCUGCAUAGAACUGUAGGCCCUGAAUAAAGAUCUGAUGAAUUCGCAUGUAUGCUGCAGACCCUGAGAGACUAAGAACCACAAAUACGACUGCUGCGAGCUGAAGUACGCAGUGUCCACCUCUAUGGUGGGUUUGGGGUUUUUUUUGUUCUUUUGUUUGUUUUUUUGUUUUUUUGCUUUUAGUAAGCAGUGUCCACAUCUGUUAUGCAUUUGUUUGUUUGUUUGUUUCANCUUUUUAGGUCCAAACCUAUGGCAUGUGGACGUUCCCAGGCUAGGGGUUGAAUCAGAGCUGUAGCUGCAGGCCUACGCCACAGCCACAGCCAGAGGAAUGAGGGAUCCAAGCCAUGUCUGCAACGUAUACCACAGCUCAUGGUAACACUGGAUCCUUAACCCACUGAGCGAGGCCAGGGAUCAAACCCACAUCCUCAUGGAUACUAGUCAGGCUUGUAACCUGCUGAACCACAACAGGGAACUAUUAUUGUGGAUUUGUAAUAGUGACCACAACUGUCUUUUAUUGAGUGAGUGCUGUAUCCAGCUGCGUGUGUGGUUUUAUUCAGUCCUACAGCAGCUGAAUGUGGAGAUCCUAUCAGUGGCCCCAGUUUACAGGGAAGGGGCUUAGAGGCGUAAGGGGCAGGUCCUUCUUUGGAGCCCAGCCCUGCCUGACUCCAGAGCCCAACAGCCCAACCACUGCCCUGUUCUCUGCUCUUCAAUGGAGAAAAAGAGUCAGUGACUCUGGCCAGGGCUCUUAGGCACAGAGGCGUGCUGCCCAGGACCCUCCAGGACUGAAGGCCACUCCUCGCCAUGGGGAGGGCUGCUGGGACAGCCCUGGGCUCACAGCCGUCUUUGGAAAUUGCCUCUGCUCAAAAAGUAUCCAGGCUGAAGUCAUGUCCCCUCCCUAGGCAGCCCUUGCAACUACUAUAUAUAAAGAUAAAUAAGGACCUGCUGUGGAGCACAGGGAACUAUAUUCAAUGUCUUAUAAUAACCUAUCAUGGGAGUUCCCGUUGUGGCGCAGUGGUUAACGAAUCCGACUAGGAACCAUGAGGUUGUGGGUUCGGUCCCUGCCCUUGCUCAGUGGGUUAAGGAUCCGGCGUUGCCCUGAGCUGUGGUGUAGGUUGCAGACGUGGCUCGGAUCCCGAGUUGCUGUGCCUCUGGUGUAGGCUGGUGGCUACAGCUCCGAUUGGACCCCUAGCCUGGGAAUCUCCACAUGCCACGGGAGUGCCCCAAGAAAUAGCAAAAAAAAAAAAAAGACAAAAAAAAAAUAACCUAUCAUGGAAAACAAUCUGAAAAAGAAUAUAUAUAUGUUUAUAUAGUCAUAACUGAAUCACUUCAUUGUACAGGUAACACUGACACAACAUUAUAAAUCAAUUCUACUUUCAAU